CCCUUAGAUGUCCUGGGCCGCACGCGCGUUACACUGAUGCAUUCAACGAGCUUAUAACCUUGGCCGAGAGGCCUGGGCAAUCUUGUUAACGUGCAUCGUGAUAGGGAUAGAUUAUUGAAAUUAUUAAUCUUGAACGAGGAAUUCCUAGUAAACGCAGAUCAUCAAUCUGCAUUGAUUACGUCCCUGCCCUUUGUACACACCGCCCGUCGCACCUACCGAUUGGAUGGUCCGGUGAAGCCUCGGGAUUGUGGUUCUUGCCGCCUUGUUGUGGCGUGACCGCGAGAACUUGUCUAAACCUUAUCAUCUAGAGGAAGGUGAAGUCGUAACA
rnacentral:rRNA from 1 species